GGGGUUGUACUGGUUUCGACGGGGGUGUUGAAGUUGGAGAAGCCAUCCGCAGACUCCGGAACUGCGUUAAAAGCUGGAACUUAAAUAUAAAAGCUGAAGAUAACAAUUACGCUUUAGCUGCAGCUUAAUGCAGCUGUGUCAGUCCGGGAUUGCUCACAGUCCGGGAAUCUGGCAUCAAAUUAUGUGAGGCCCUUUGCCGCCUAAGCUUUGCAGCGGUAAAAGAAUUAUGAAGCUACCAAGGCCAUAAGCCUGUCGCCGGGCGUAUGGACGAGGGAAUGACAAAACAGCGACUGUGAUGGGAGAUGCUUCGAUGGAGGUGCCUUCGGACCGGGGUUCGACUCCCCGCAGCUCCACU
rnacentral:tmRNA from 1 species